AUCACCUGUAAUUCCCCCCCUUCUUUUUGUUCUUUAGCUUCUUUGGCCCCGGAACUUCAAUUCUACCAAUUGUACACCCACAACUGGCCCGAAACACGAGAACUGCCCUCCCAUUUUCAGGUGCAAUCUCCCUUAACUGUUUUUGGAAUUCUUUAUCGGUUACUAGCAGAAAGUUAAGAAAGUCCUGCACAGGACCUUCUUCGCUCACAGAAGAACUUGAAUUCUGUGCAGACUCUUCAAUCUCAAGUUGCAUUUCAAACUCCUUUAAGUUACGGAGGCUGUGGCAAUUUGGAUUUCGACAUUUCUUACCAGUGCAUUUAGAAAUGCCCCAAAAAACUAAGAAAAUCCCUAUGCAUGCAUAGGCAAUUGAAGAUCGAUGCACACUGUUUUUUACUACAGAAAGAAUUUCCCCACUGAUUCUUGAAAUCCCACUGCAGAAAAGCUUACCAAAGGGGAAUACCAAAAAUCCUGUAGCACCCAUGACAAUAGUCAUGAACACAACAUCCACCGCUGCAGUUCGAGAUUGAUCACAAGAUGGAAUUUUUGAACGGUUCAAAGAAUUGGGCUGCUUUCUGUUUUUCUGUUGUUGAUGAUUCUGCCUUGAUAUAGUAGAUUGGCUGGUCAAUGUCGGAGGAGUAGCCAUGUUUGUAGGAUGACCGGAGGACUUGCCAAACGAAAUAAUGCUACCGGAAUGCACUGUUUGGAUUGUGCUUCUCUGAUCAAAGCCCACUUACCUUGAUAUGAAAACAGAUUUAACCCACCAAUCUAAAAAUCAAAUCAAAACAAAUCCAUCAUAAAGAAGGCGAAAUUGUUACAAGUUCAAACUCACCUGAAGGUUGGUAUCCAAUUUUGAUGAAACUGAGGUGUUUCUGUUGCUUCUUCGAGCAGGUAUUGAUUCUGUGCACACCUUAUGCAAACUAAGUUUGGCAAUAAGAAUGGUUUAGGGCAUCUGUAAAACACUUUGCUCAAGAACAUGAACUUGCAUCUCCUCGAAAGAAAAUCCCAGCCAGGUACAUGAAGGAGGCGAUGUAGUCAUGACUACUUAUAUCAUCUCUUAAGCUGAUUUGUCAUCUAAAACAGCUGUUUUUAGCCUGCAAAUCAGACUGUCGGAGCUAACAAUGGUAAUGUAAUAAUUCGAAUUAAUGAUCCCAUUAAAUGAUAGCUAUAAUUGGAAAAGUUUCUUGGGAAUUAAUAAUCCCGUUAAAUGAUAGAUAUCAUAGGAAAAGUUUGAUGGAAUGCCUAAUUUAAUCUAAUAUAAUCUUUAUACAAUCUAAUAAUAACGUUAAUAAACCUUUUCCUGUUGUGAAUUGGUGCAGGAUCAUUUGUACCUGUGUCAAUUUUGUUGUAAGUUGCAACCCACAGGGUAUUGAGGCAACCCCCCUCCCUGACCAAAAUAAAGAG